CGGAGAUAAUAUAUAACUAUAGCACUUACAUGACACCACUUGAAUAAUAUAUGGAUGCAUAUAGAUAUUGUUUGAUUUAUUUAUUUAUUAAACACGCCACGUUUAUUACAUCACAGAUACGGUUCAAUGUCAAACUCGUGAAUAAUUCACGAGUAAAUUAGCCGACCGUAUCGCUUUAUUUUGUUCACAUGAUAAUACUGGAUACCUGAUGAAGUAUAUUGUUGCAGUUCUAGAAUUAAUUCGCCUCAUAUAUACUGAUUUAUUCGUAUGAGAUGUAAUAUUUCAAAUCUGACUAUGAGGACUGGACUAGAUUUCAAGUCCGUACAAUGGACAACUUGCAUGUUAGGCUAAAUUCUAAUCUAAGUAAAGAGAAGGGAAUCAAACACCACAGCUAAAAAGAACAUCAUGAAAUUAGUGGAACUGCAAAAUUUGGUUGCGAAAUGUUGUAAAGCUUGAAAAUAUAGCCUUGCAAAGUUUGAAAAUGUUGUAUAUGUUUGUAUACUACGUGCGGAAAUUGGUAUCAUUUUCGGCUCAAAAAUGCAAGACUAUAUUUUUCGUAUUUUACAACAUUUCGUAACCAAAUUUUGCAAGUCGGAUUUGAAAUAUUACUUCAAAAAUACAUACAGUUCAAUAUGAGUCGAGCAAGCAACGUUUUUUUUCAACACGGACAUCACCCAAAAAUUGGUAUAACUAAAUUUGGAGGCAUUUUGCAUCAAAGCGCUCGUGUAAUUAGGAAGCAAAAUACUUUAGAUUUUGUCAUAUGCGUUCAACAUUUUAUGCACAAACUGAUACGAAUAGUUUUUAAUCCUGUCCCCCAUAGGCAAUCUGACGUUCGUGUUGACAAAAAUAUCGCUUGCUCCGGCCUAUUUCAGCUCGAACGGGCAAACCAUGCAACCGAGACCGUCUUGCAUAUUUUUGAUAUUUUCAAAUUAAGCCACCACCAAAUCACCAGCGGGUUAUUUUGACUUACAUCGCCUCUGAUUCAAUACAUGACCAGAAGACGCAAGUCAAAAUAACCCGCUGGUGAUUGGUUCGGCCUUAAUUUGAAAACAUCAAAAAUAUGCAAAAGCAGCCUCGUUGUGCCCGUUGGAGCUGUAACACGUACAAUUUGCAUUUAACUAACUUCAAUGGUCUUGAUACUGAUACGAUCAUUAUUACUUAUUUUUUUGAGACCCAGUGACAACAGUGGCCUCAGGGCCACAAAACAUGCUGUUUCCCUCGGUCUCAGUAAAUAAGUGAUAAUUAUUAUAUACCAAGUGUCAUAGUUCGUGUUUUCUUGCAUCUCAUUGGACGAAAACGUAUUUCGUGAAAGUCAUGAAAUUCAACUGUCUCCUGGCAACAGCUCACAGCGAUGGACAUUGGUAGUUCCUGUCUCUUUUUGUUUCAUUUGACACUUGUGAUAUAUAAUAAAAUACUUACUGACUGCGACUUUUGGGAAGGAUUAAGAUAAAACGUGGAUAAGGACGAACGGAUGGCGACGGACGGACGGACUGAUGAUUUAUCUUGUCGUUAAAUGUCAUUUAACAGUCAUAUCCGCGUACGCGCAGAUAUGGUUCAAAAACUUUUUUCAUAUGACUUAUAAAGGGAUGACAAAGUUUUUUGAACAAUAUCUGCGUUUUGGAUAAAACGCGGAUAUGACUGUUAAAUGACAUCAUCUGUCAGUCCGUCCGUCGCCACUCGUCCGUCCGUAUCCGCGUUUUAUCCUAACACCUUAUUUGGGAGGCAGCAUGUUUUGUGGGCGCUCGAGUUCCCCUCGGGAAACACUAGCAGUCCCGUGUCCAAAAAACAUACUGUUUCCCAAAAGUCCCAGUCAAUAGAUAUUAAAUCUAUUACCCAAAUAGGCCGUUUGCCGUGACCUAAAAAUAUGCCUAGAAAACGAUUUUCAUUAAGCAUGUCGUGGAACUGAAAUAUUUUCACGGUAACUAACAUUUUAGAACACGCUGAAUUCAAAUCCGAAAAGUUGCCGCUCCGUAGACCCGCAG